AACUGUUUGAAAAAGUCAAUUUUUAUGGCGAAAACACCAUAAUAUUUGAUAUUUCGAUGUAUCAGAAGGUUGAAAGAUGGACGAUUUAGAACUGAUACAGCGAUUCUAUGACGAAUUCUUUGGACACAAUUCAACGAUAUCAAGACAUUCACAUGAAAUUGAACUACCUAGAGUAACGUCUGAUGAUGAAAAUGAUGACAAUCAAGUGGC